CGGGCGGCAGGCGGUGGCCGGCGGUUCAUCCCGGUGUCCUGCGCGCGCUGCUGCCUUCGCCCGCCCACCUCGCCCUCCUGUUCCUCUCCAUUCCUGCAUUUCCUCCUUCUUGCUCUCUUUCACUUUCCUCUUUGCUUUAUUGAUUGAUCCAGCCAAGAACGCAUACAUUGGGAAACCAUGAAAUGCAUCCAGAUUCCCUCAAAGUGCGGGUCGUCAGCACAGGCACGGGAUUUAGAAAGGCUUAACCAGGACGUCUUGCUUUGCUGUCUGCCCACAUUAGAUGAGCUUCGCCAUGGGCUGUUUCUCGUCUGUCCUGCCUGGCUACCAUGCUGCCCUGCCUUGGAACCAGCCAACUAUGGACUGAAACAUCUACAAACUGAGUAUUCCUAGCUAGGCGUGGUGGCACACACCUGUUAUCCCAGUACUUAGGAGGCUGAGGCAGGAAGAUCACCAUGAGUUCAAGGCCACCUUCAGCGACACAGAGAAUUGAAGGCUAUCCUGGACUACAUAGCAAGACCCUGUCUCAGAAAACAAACAGAAUAUUCCUGUUAUUUGUGAUAUUAAAA
ensembl:lncRNA